rnacentral:rRNA from 1 species
UACGGGGGGGCAAGCGUUGUUCGGAAUUACUGGGCGUAAAGGGCUCGUAGGCGGCCAACUAAGUCAGACGUGAAAUCCCUCGGCUUAACCGGGAACUGCGUCUGAUACUGGAUGGCUAGAGGUUGGGAGAGGAUGCGGAAUUCCAGGUGUAGCGGUGAAAUGCGUAGAUAUCUGGAGGAACACCGGUGGCGAAGGCGGCAUCCUGGACCAAUUCUGACGCUGAGGAGCGAAAGCCAGGGAGCAAAGCGGG